rfam:Kwoniella mangroviensis CBS 10435 unplaced genomic scaffold supercont2.6, whole genome shotgun sequence.
GUGGGGGUAUUUCAGGGGUUAGAAUCAUAGAUUGCAAUUAAGCAUUGCAGCGCUUGGAUAAAGCAUCUAUCUAUUUGUCGUGGGUUCAAAUCCCACUCUCCACU